GAUGAACGCUAGCGGCAGGCCUAACACAUGCAAGUCGAGGGAGGAGCUUUCGGGCUUCGACCGGCGUACGGGUGCGUAACGCGUAUACAAUCUGCCUUUCACAUAGGGAUAGCCCGAAGAAAUUUGGAUUAAUACCUAAUGGUAUAUAGGAGUGGCAUCACCUUUAUAUUAAAGCUGAGGCGGUGAAAGAUGAGUAUGCGUUCUAUUAGCUAGUUGGAGAGGUAACGGCUCCCCAAGGCGACGAUAGAUAGGGGUUCUGAGAGGGAUAUCCCCCACACUGGUACUGAGAUACGGACCAGACGCCUACGGGAGGCAGCAGUGAGGAAUAUUGGACAAUGGUCGGAAGACUGAUCCAGCCAUGCCGCGUGCAGGAAGACGGCCUUAUGGGUUGUAAACUGCUUUUGCAGGGGAAGAAUAAGGAGUACGUGUACUUUGAUGACGGUACUCUGCGAAUAAGCAUCGGCUAACUCCGUG
rnacentral:rRNA from 1 species